rfam:Polaribacter sp. Hel1_33_78 genome assembly, chromosome: I
AUGUUAUCAAGAAAGGUGUAGGGAUUAGACCCAAUGAAGCCUUAGCAACCCUUUAGAAAUAAAGAAGGUGCUAAAUUCUACUCAAUUAUUUUAUAAUUGGAUAGAUAACAA